rnacentral:rRNA from 1 species
UGGGGAAUUUUGGACAAUGGGCGAAAGCCUGAUCCAGCAAUGCUGCGUGUGUGAAGAAGGCCUUCGGGUUGUAAAGCACUUUUGUCCGGAAAGAAAUCCUUGGCUCUAAUACAGUCGGGGAUGACGGUACCGGAAGAAUAAGCACCGGCUAACUACGUGCCAGCAGCCGCGGUAAUACGUAGGGUGCAAGCGUUAAUCGGAAUUACUGGGCGUAAAGCGUGCGCAGGCGGUUUGCUAAGACCGAUGUGAAAUCCCCGGGCUCAACCUGGGAACUGCAUUGGUGACUGGCAGGCUAGAGUAUGGCAGAGGGGGGUAGAAUUCCACGUGUAGCAGUGAAAUGCGUAGAGAUGUGGAGGAAUACCGAUGGCGAAGGCAGCCCCUGGGCCAAUACUGACGCUCAUGCACGAAAGCGUGGGGAGC